AUUAAGAUAGUUUAUUAGUAGUUUCUGUUGAAGUAUUUUUCAGUUCAGUUAAUUCUUAACAAUUACUGCAAUUGGUAGAGUCUUUUAUGCCUGAAUAUUAUAGGAAAACUUAAAUCUAUGUUGAUCAAACCUCCAAAAGCUGAUUUUCCUUUGAAUUCCAAGAUUACUGAGAGGGCUAAAGUCUUCCCAAUUGCUUUUGUAGUUUCUUUUGGAAUUCUUUGCUAAAAUCACAAUACAAUUUAGCUGCAUUUGGAUAUAACAAAGAAAACAGAAGGAGUGAGUGAGACAAAGAGUACAUUUGUUUCUCUCAACAUCCUCAUCUUUGUUAUUUAGUGGAAACUUUUUCUAUUAGAUUAUGGUUUAUAAUUUUGACAUCUCUGUAAGUGCAGGUAUAUCGAUUAUAAGCAUUCUUUCAAUUGGUUUGCUCAAAAGUUACGUUGCCAAUUACUCUAGCUUUACAUCAUACCAAAGCCGUUGGGUUCUGUUAAGAGUACAAUCAUUUGCCUGAAGUCAUUGAUGCUACCUGCACAUACUUGAUCAACAAAAAUAUAAAGUUUCUUCUCAGAGGAAACACAAUAUUUUUCGAGAGAGUGUUAAAUUCUAUGGUAAAUGUUGGUGUUUGCUAUGAUGUUGAUAUUUGAUGAAGAAAUGCUUUUCUGUACUUGUAGAAACUGAAGGUUUACUGGAUUGUAUGAUAAGAGAGAGGAAGGAAACUGUCAGUAUGAGUAGAAUGACUUCUGCUUAAAUUCUCAUGUCUUGCUGACUACAACAAAUGCUUGUCCUCGCAUUCAUCAGCUGAGGACUAAACCUAUAGAAUGUUGUUCAAGCAGUAGGCAGAUAGACCUUGGAAUGAGGAAAUACUGGAUAAUAUGACUCGAAGCUGUGAAAAGGGAUUGUGCUGUUGUUCUUUUAUCUACAAAAUGGCUUUUUUGCCGUAAACUUAACCUUCGCUCAACUUUAACUACCACUUCUAUGUAAAAAGAACUAAGAAAAUUGAAUGUGAAAGUUGAGCAAGGAAUGACUAAUGUCUUCCUGCUGUCUGCUA